rnacentral:rRNA from 1 species
UACGUAGGGGGCGAGCGUUGUCCGGAUUUAUUGGGCGUAAAGAGCUCGUAGGCGGCUGUUCGAGUCGGGUGUGAAAUCCUGAGCUUAACCUUGGGUCUGCAUUCGAUACUGGGCGGCUUGAGUCUGGUAGGGGGAUCUGGAAUUCCUGGUGUAGCGGUGGAAUGCGCAGAUAUCAGGAGGAACACCGGUGGCGAAGGCGGGAUCCUGGGCCAGUACUGACGCUGAGGAGCGAAAGCGAUGGGGAGCAAACGGGG